ACUCAACGUAGGGUUUCAUGAAAGCCUCUUGUUGGAACUCUAAUACUUUAUGUAUUUUUUUCAAUUUUAGACCGAGUUGGAGAUACAGUUGCAGGUUGCGAUAGUGAAGUACAUAAUUCUGUUUGUUUUCUAAAGUGGUAGAAAUACAAUGGGGGUUUGAUGUGGAAAGAUGUCUGUACGAAGUUUAUAUAACGGGUUAGAAUGUGGACUUACAUCCACCAGAAGCUUGGGGAUGUCUCGCCAGAACUUAGACAGAAUGCUGGAGAACUACGAUACAACUUCACAUUAACAUCCACUUGGUUUAACAGAUCGAGAUAGUCCAUCGAAUUCUGACCACUGAUUUGAAACUCAAUGGGAGUAUCAUCCGACACUUGGGAUAUUGGACGAAUCUCUUGAUAAUGGACAUCAUUCACCGCAACUUGUGUAGGAGCUCACUUUUCGCCUGGUUUACUGUCUGUUCCGAUGGGGAAACUGUGCUGAUUGUCAUACCAUUACUUCCCAUCUUCGACUUGUGUGGAAUGGCAAAUCCCCUCCCAACUUGAGAUCAUCCGGGGAUAUCGCCAUAUUGAAAACCCGCCAGAGGUUCGGUCCACGUCCAUGGUGCUCGGGAUGAGUCAUUGGAGGACGAAGAUCGGGUGUCCUUAUGCUGCCAUGAAAUGUCGUUUUUAUGAUGUCCAAUUAUGUUAAAAAAUAAACAACUUGGAGAAUGUG